UGGAAUGGAAUCAAAUGGGCAUCUUGAGAGCAGGAAACCUCCUUGUUGCCAUUGUAUCCCUAGAGCCUCACAUAGGCUUCAGGCCCUCAGUAUCCUUCACUUGCUCUGAAAUGCUCCUGCAGUGGCUCUUGGAUGUCAGUCUUACCUUCUGGAAUCCAGGCUCCACACUGGUACCAGAUGAGUAACUCCGAAAUGCCAUUGACCUUGUCCCUGCUCUGCCACCCAGUCCUUCAAUACCACCUCUUGUCUACACCAUGCAGUUCUCUACUUGGAACAUAAGGCCCAAUAACCUGGUGUUGGGCUCUGAACACUUUGACAUGCUGAGUAAUUUAAACUGAAGGAGACUGGAAGGUCUCAGAAGGCGGGGCUCUCUGACCUCUCCCAUCCUUCGGUUUUCCACCAGUCUUUCUCCUCUGAGGUGAUUCACAGAAACCAGAAUUCCUCUUCCCCAAGGUGGGUCAUAGAAACUAGAAUCCCUUUCCCCCAAAGCAAGCCAUAAAACCUAGAAAGGCCACUCCCUUUUCCUUCUCCCUUCUUCCUUGGAGACCCUCAUUUCAGAGGGGUCCUGCCCCAUCCCCAGGAGGAAAAAAUGCUACACAGGCCAAGAAAAAUCUGAACAGACAGGCCUUUCUGGAUUUCCCUCCCCUGCCCCAACCUCUGUUAUUACCAUUAGAUCACACUCUUUUUGUCUAAUCAUAUUCCUACAUGGCUAGCCAUUCUUCAGUGAACCUAUGCAUUAAACUAGUUUUCCCUGGGUCAUUGGGUCUUUAUUUCUGAAGACCCCUAUAUCAUGUAAAACUUUGAUUAAAUAAACGUGUUAUGGUUUUCUCUUGUUAACCUGUCUUCUGUUAUAGGAGUGUUGACCAUGAUCCUUAUAACAGGUGAGGAAAGAUGUCACCUUUCUGCCCCCUAUAGUUUCUGGCACCCAAAGUAGGGGUGGCUGAGACACCUAAUUUGCUCUGGAACCUGCAGAAUAGAUCCUGGGACAACUGACAAACAGCCGGCAAAGAAAAGCUCCUGUCUCCUCCAUUUGUUGAUCGGUGGAUGGAAAAUUACUAAAAGGAAACAUCAG
rnacentral:lncRNA from 10 species